rnacentral:rRNA from 1 species
UACGUAGGUGGCAAGCGUUGUCCGGAAUUAUUGGGCGUAAAGCGCGUGUAGGCGGCUUUGUAAGUCGGGUGUGAAAGCCCUCGGCUCAACCGAGGAAGUGCGCCCGAAACUACUUUGCUCGAGUACCGGAGAGGAUGGCGGAAUACCCCAAGUAGAGGUGAAAUUCGUAGAUAUCGGGAGGAACACCAGUGGCGAAGGCGGCGAUCUGGGAAGAUACUGACGCUGAGGUGCGAAAGCGUGGGGAGCAAACAGG